rnacentral:rRNA from 1 species
CAGCCGCCACGGUAAUACAGAGGGUGCAAGCGUUAAUCGGAAUUACUGGGCGUAAAGCGCGCGUAGGUGGUUUGUUGAGUUGGAUGUGAAAUCCCCGGGCUCAACCUGGGAACUGCAUCCAAAACUGGCAAGCUAGAGUAUGGUAGAGGGUGGUGGAAUUUCCUGUGUAGCGGUGAAAUGCGUAGAUAUAGGAAGGAACACCAGUGGCGAAGGCGACCACCUGGACUGAUACUGACACUGAGGUGCGAAAGCGUGGGGAGCAAACAGGAUUAGAUACCCCCGUAGUCCCUGUCUCUUAUAA